GGGUAGCCAGCGGCGAGGCGGCUCUCUGGUCUGUAACUGACGCUAGAGGCUCGAAAGCGUGGGGAGCGAACAGGAUUAGAUACCCUGGUAGUCCACGCCGUAAACGAUGAGUGCUAAGUGUUGGAGGGUUUCCGCCCUUCAGUGCUGCAGCAAACGCAUUAAGCACUCCGCCUGGGGAGUACGACCGCAAGGUUGAAACUCAAAGGAAUUGACGGGGGCCCGCACAAGCGGUGGAGCAUGUGGUUUAAUUCGAAGCAACGCGAAGAACCUUACCAGGUCUUGACAUCCUUUGACCACUCUAGAGAUAGAGCUUCCCCUUCGGGGGCAAAGUGACAGGUGGUGCAUGGUUGUCGUCAGCUCGUGUCGUGAGAUGUUGGGUUAAGUCCCGCAACGAGCGCAACCCUUAUUGUUAGUUGCCAUCAUUUAGUUGGGCACUCUAGCGAGACUGCCGGUGACAAACCGGAGGAAGGUGGGGAUGACGUCAAAUCAUCAUGCCCCUUAUGACCUGGGCUACACACGUGCUACAAUGGGAAGUACAACGAGUUGCGAAGUCGCGAGGCUAAGCUAAUCUCUUAAAGCUUCUCUCAGUUCGGAUUGUAGGCUGCAACUCGCCUACAUGAAGCCGGAAUCGCUAGUAAUCGCGGAUCAGCACGCCGCGGUGAAUACGUUCCCGGGCCUUGUACACACCGCCCGUCACACCACGAGAGUUUGUAACACCCGAAGUCGGUGAGGUAACCUUUUUGGAGCCAGCCGCCUAAGGUGGGAUAGAUGAUUGGGGUGAAGUCGUAACA
rnacentral:rRNA from 1 species